UGAGGAAUCUUGCGCAAUGGGGGAAACCCUGACGCAGCAACUCCGCGUGAGUGAGGAAGGCCUUCGGGUCGUAAAGCUCUGUCAGAUGGGAAGAAAUGGGUGGGGGCUAAUAUCGUCCACCCUUGACGGUACCAUCAGAGGAAGCACCGGCUAACUCCGUGCCAGCAGCCGCGGUAAUACGGGGGGUGCAAGCGUUGUUCGGAAUCAUUGGGCGUAAAGCGCGCGCAGGCGGCUUGGUCAGUCAGAUGUGAAAGCCCUGGGCUUAACCCAGGAAGUGCAUUUGAUACUGCCUCGCUAGAGUACGGGAGAGGAAAGUGGAAUUCCUGGUGUAGAGGUGAAAUUCGUAGAUAUCAGGAGGAACACCGGUGGCGAAGGCGACUUUCUGGCCCGAUACUGACGCUCAGGCGCGAAAGCGUGGGGAGCAAACA
rnacentral:rRNA from 1 species